UACAGGGGGGGCAAGCGUUGUUCGGAAUUACUGGGCGUAAAGGGCGCGUAGGCGGCCUUCUAAGUCGAACGUGAAAUCCCCGGGCUCAACCCGGGAACUGCGUCCGAUACUGGAAGGCUUGAAUCCGGGAGAGGGAUGUGGAAUUCCAGGUGUAGCGGUGAAAUGCGUAGAUAUCUGGAGGAACACCGGUGGCGAAGGCGACAUCCUGGACCGGUAUUGACGCUGAGGCGCGAAAGCCAGGGGAGCAAACGGG
rnacentral:rRNA from 1 species